rnacentral:rRNA from 1 species
CGAGAGGCUUCGGCAAUGGGGGAAACCCUGACCGAGCGACGCCGCGUGGAGGAUGAAGGCCUUUGGGUUGUAAACUCCUGUCAUGUGGGAAGAAAUGCCACCGUUCGAAUAGGGCGGUGGUUUGACGGUACCACAAGAGGAAGCUCCGGCUAACUACGUGCCAGCAGCCGCGGUAAUACGGGGGGAGCAAACGUUGUUCGGAAUCACUGGGCGUAAAGGGCGUGUAGGCGGCUGAAUAAGUGGGAUGUUAAAUCCCCCGGCUCAACCGGGGACCUGCAUCUCAUACUGUUCAGCUCGAGCACAUCAGAGGAGACUGGAAUUCCCGGUGUAGCGGUGAAAUGCGCAGAUAUCGGGAGGAACACCAGUGGCGAAGGCGAGUCUCUGGGAUGAUGCUGACGCUGAGGCGCGAAAGCCAGGGGAGCAAA